UUAACUCAAAUUUGUAUGGAGAUGGAAUGUUUGCCUACGUUUGCCGCUAGGAGCGCUGUUCCAACUGCAUACAAAAUUUAAGUUA
rnacentral:pre_miRNA from 1 species